GGGUUGUGAGGUUAAGCGACUAAGCGUACACGGUGGAUGCCCUGGCAGUCAGAGGCGAUGAAGGACGUGCUAAUCUGCGAUAAGCGUCGGUAAGGUGAUAUGAACCGUUAUAACCGGCGAUUUCCGAAUGGGGAAACCCAGUGUGUUUCGACACACUAUCAUUAACUGAAUCCAUAGGUUAAUGAGGCGAACCGGGGGAACUGAAACAUCUAAGUACCCCGAGGAAAAGAAAUCAACCGAGAUUCCCCCAGUAGCGGCGAGCGAACGGGGAGCAGCCCAGAGCCUGAAUCAGUGUGUGUGUUAGUGGAAGCGUCUGGAAAGGCGCGCGAUACAGGGUGACAGCCCCGUACACAAAAAUGCACAUGCUGUGAGCUCGAUGAGUAGGGCGGGACACGUGGUAUCCUGUCUGAAUAUGGGGGGACCAUCCUCCAAGGCUAAAUACUCCUGACUGACCGAUAGUGAACCAGUACCGUGAGGGAAAGGCGAAAAGAACCCCGGCGAGGGGAGUGAAAAAGAACCUGAAACCGUGUACGUACAAGCAGUGGGAGCACGCUUCGGCGUGUGACUGCGUACCUUUUGUAUAAUGGGUCAGCGACUUAUAUUCUGUAGCAAGGUUAACCGAAUAGGGGAGCCGAAGGGAAACCGAGUCUUAACUGGGCGUUAAGUUGCAGGGUAUAGACCCGAAACCCGGUGAUCUAGCCAUGGGCAGGUUGAAGGUUGGGUAACACUAACUGGAGGACCGAACCGACUAAUGUUGAAAAAUUAGCGGAUGACUUGUGGCUGGGGGUGAAAGGCCAAUCAAACCGGGAGAUAGCUGGUUCUCCCCGAAAGCUAUUUAGGUAGCGCCUCGUGAAUUCAUCUCCGGGGGUAGAGCACUGUUUCGGCAAGGGGGUCAUCCCGACUUACCAACCCGAUGCAAACUGCGAAUACCGGAGAAUGUUAUCACGGGAGACACACGGCGGGUGCUAACGUCCGUCGUGAAGAGGGAAACAACCCAGACCGCCAGCUAAGGUCCCAAAGUCAUGGUUAAGUGGGAAACGAUGUGGGAAGGCCCAGACAGCCAGGAUGUUGGCUUAGAAGCAGCCAUCAUUUAAAGAAAGCGUAAUAGCUCACUGGUCGAGUCGGCCUGCGCGGAAGAUGUAACGGGGCUAAACCAUGCACCGAAGCUGCGGCAGCGACACUGUGUGUUGUUGGGUAGGGGAGCGUUCUGUAAGCCUGUGAAGGUGUACUGUGAGGUAUGCUGGAGGUAUCAGAAGUGCGAAUGCUGACAUAAGUAACGAUAAAGCGGGUGAAAAGCCCGCUCGCCGGAAGACCAAGGGUUCCUGUCCAACGUUAAUCGGGGCAGGGUGAGUCGACCCCUAAGGCGAGGCCGAAAGGCGUAGUCGAUGGGAAACAGGUUAAUAUUCCUGUACUUGGUGUUACUGCGAAGGGGGGACGGAGAAGGCUAUGUUGGCCGGGCGACGGUUGUCCCGGUUUAAGCGUGUAGGCUGGUUUUCCAGGCAAAUCCGGAAAAUCAAGGCUGAGGCGUGAUGACGAGGCACUACGGUGCUGAAGCAACAAAUGCCCUGCUUCCAGGAAAAGCCUCUAAGCAUCAGGUAACAUCAAAUCGUACCCCAAACCGACACAGGUGGUCAGGUAGAGAAUACCAAGGCGCUUGAGAGAACUCGGGUGAAGGAACUAGGCAAAAUGGUGCCGUAACUUCGGGAGAAGGCACGCUGAUAUGUAGGUGAAGUCCCUCGCGGAUGGAGCUGAAAUCAGUCGAAGAUACCAGCUGGCUGCAACUGUUUAUUAAAAACACAGCACUGUGCAAACACGAAAGUGGACGUAUACGGUGUGACGCCUGCCCGGUGCCGGAAGGUUAAUUGAUGGGGUUAGCGGUAACGCGAAGCUCUUGAUCGAAGCCCCGGUAAACGGCGGCCGUAACUAUAACGGUCCUAAGGUAGCGAAAUUCCUUGUCGGGUAAGUUCCGACCUGCACGAAUGGCGUAAUGAUGGCCAGGCUGUCUCCACCCGAGACUCAGUGAAAUUGAACUCGCUGUGAAGAUGCAGUGUACCCGCGGCAAGACGGAAAGACCCCGUGAACCUUUACUAUAGCUUGACACUGAACAUUGAGCCUUGAUGUGUAGGAUAGGUGGGAGGCUUUGAAGUGUGGACGCCAGUCUGCAUGGAGCCGACCUUGAAAUACCACCCUUUAAUGUUUGAUGUUCUAACGUUGACCCGUAAUCCGGGUUGCGGACAGUGUCUGGUGGGUAGUUUGACUGGGGCGGUCUCCUCCUAAAGAGUAACGGAGGAGCACGAAGGUUGGCUAAUCCUGGUCGGACAUCAGGAGGUUAGUGCAAUGGCAUAAGCCAGCUUGACUGCGAGCGUGACGGCGCGAGCAGGUGCGAAAGCAGGUCAUAGUGAUCCGGUGGUUCUGAAUGGAAGGGCCAUCGCUCAACGGAUAAAAGGUACUCCGGGGAUAACAGGCUGAUACCGCCCAAGAGUUCAUAUCGACGGCGGUGUUUGGCACCUCGAUGUCGGCUCAUCACAUCCUGGGGCUGAAGUAGGUCCCAAGGGUAUGGCUGUUCGCCAUUUAAAGUGGUACGCGAGCUGGGUUUAGAACGUCGUGAGACAGUUCGGUCCCUAUCUGCCGUGGGCGCUGGAGAACUGAGGGGGGCUGCUCCUAGUACGAGAGGACCGGAGUGGACGCAUCACUGGUGUUCGGGUUGUCAUGCCAAUGGCACUGCCCGGUAGCUAAAUGCGGAAGAGAUAAGUGCUGAAAGCAUCUAAGCACGAAACUUGCCCCGAGAUGAGUUCUCCCUGACCCUUUAAGGGUCCUGAAGGAACGUUGAAGACGACGACGUUGAUAGGCCGGGUGUGUAAGCGCAGCGAUGCGUUGAGCUAACCGGUACUAAUGAACCGUGAGGCUUAACCUUACAACGCCGAAG
rnacentral:rRNA from 1 species